rnacentral:tRNA from 1 species
GCCUGGGUGGCUCAGUUGGUUAGCGUCUGACUUCCACUCAGGACAUGAUCUCACAGUUUGUGGGUUCGAGCCCUGCACUGGGCU